AGAACGAACGCUGGCGGCAGGCUUAACACAUGCAAGUCGAGCGCCCCGCAAGGGGAGCGGCAGACGGGUGAGUAACGCGUGGGAACAUACCCUCCGGUUCGGAAUAACUCAGGGAAACUUGAGCUAAUACCGGAUACGUCCGAGGUUUUAAUCGACCUUGGAGAAAGAUUUAUCGCCGGAGGAUUGGCCCGCGUCUGAUUAGCUUGUUGGUGAGGUAAUGGCCUACCAAGGCGACGACGGGUAGCC
rnacentral:rRNA from 1 species